rnacentral:pre_miRNA from 1 species
GAUAUACUCCCUCCGUCCGGAACUACUUGUCAUCAAAAUCGAUGAAAAUUGAUGUAUCUAGAACUAAAAUACAUCUAGAUACAUCCAUUUCCAUGACAAGUAUUUUCGGACGGAGGGAGUAUUAU